GUGCCAGCCGCCGCGGUAAUACGGAGGGUGCAAGCGUUAAUCGGAAUUACUGGGCGUAAAGCGCACGCAGGCGGUCUGUCAAGUCGGAUGUGAAAUCCCCGGGCUCAACCUGGGAACUGCAUUCGAAACUGGCAGGCUAGAGUCUUGUAGAGGGGGGUAGAAUUCCAGGUGUAGCGGUGAAAUGCGUAGAGAUCUGGAGGAAUACCGGUGGCGAAGGCGGCCCCCUGGACAAAGACUGACGCUCAGGUGCGAAAGCGUGGGGAGCAAACAGGAUUAGAUACCCUGGUAGUCCACGCCGUAAACGAUGUCGAUUUGGAGGUUGUGCCCUUGAGGCGUGGCUUCCGGAGCUAACGCGUUAAAUCGACCGCCUGGGGAGUACGGCCGCAAGGUUAAAACUCAAAUGAAUUGACGGGGCCCGCACAAGCGGUGGAGCAUGUGGUUUAAUUCGAUGCAACGCGAAGAACCUUACCUAGGUCUUGACAUCCACAGAACUUUCCAGAGAUGGAUUGGUGCCUUCGGGAACUGUAGAGAC
rnacentral:rRNA from 1 species